rnacentral:rRNA from 1 species
GAUGAACGCUGGCGGCGUGCCUAAUACAUGCAAGUCGAGCGAACAGACGAUGCUCUUGCUCCUCUGACGUUAGCGGCGGACGGGUGAGUAACGCGUGGAUAACCUACCUAUAAUACUGGGAUCACUUCGGGAAACCGGCGCUAAUCCCGUAUAAUAUAUUGAACCACAUGGUUCGAUAGUGAAAGACGGUUUUGCUGUCACUUAUAGAUGGAUCCGCGCCGCAUUAGCUGGUUGUUGAGGUAACGGGUUACCAAGGCAACGAUGCGUAGCCGACCGGCGAGGGGGGUCGGCGACAUUGGAACGGAGACAGGGUCAAGAGUCCUACGGGAGGGCGCAGUAGCGAAUCUUCCGCAAUGGGGGAGAGUCUGACGGAGCAAGGCGGAGUGAGAUAUGAAGGUGUUGGGAGCGUAAAACUCUGUUAUUAGGGAAAAACAAAUUUGUAAGGAAAUAAGGAGGGAUUGACGGUACCUAAUAAGAAAGCAACGGCUAACUACGUG